UCCAUUACAGAAGAAGAACAGAUGUCUCCUGCCCUAUUCAUCAACUUAGUGCUCUUUCUCAUGCUGUUCUUUAAUCGAAACAAGAAGGAAAAACAAAGAUCCGAUCCGAGUUGACCCGAUAUCCCGUUUUCUGCGAUCGUUAAAGCAAUAGAUCUGUUUCUCCAGACUCAAAGACAUCAUGAAAAUCAAACCUAGAAGGAAAAGAGACUCAUAAACAACAGAAGCGUUUUCAAUCAGAUUUAACAAAGAGCAUUUCAGAUUCCACCAGAUGACCAAAAUCUAAUGGAAAGAGGGAACUGUGAAGCCUUUGAGUGCCUCAGCUUGCAAUCAAAAGCAAUCUUUUCCGGUGGGAUCUCAAGAUCAAAGGUGCUUUGAUCAUACUCUAAAACAUAGUGUGUAUCAUCAUGUACAGGGAUACUUUCAUUGUCGCUGUAAGUUUCCGUCUUCAUCUUUUGUCCCACUUCGUUUGAUUCUUGGGUCUUUAACCAUUUUGUUUUUGUCUCCUCAGGGUCGUGGUUUUCCCAUUGUACGUCGUGUCAUUAAGGUCGCGAAAGGGAGCUUACACAAGAAGUGGAUGUUUUGACAAAAGGUGUUGGUUAUGCUGAUUUGGAAUGACAAUUAGUGGCAAGAAACUACGUUGGGGACUUUGUAUUAACUCCCCUACAGUAUCAAUCAUAUUGUCUCCCUAAGUGUUCUUUUCAAGAAUCAGCUUCAAGCCUUCAACAAUAUCAAGUUGAACAUCAGCUCAGGAGAGAAGUAGACAUUCAGUCUAUAUUCGGGAACUGUGGCUUACAGUUAUUUUUAUGAUGAUGCAAAAUCACUACACAGUUAUCAUGAAGUCUUCGAUAAGAAAAGUAUUCAAUCAAGACACUUACAGGGAAUGAAAAGAAGAAAUACUGGAUCAUAAACAAGUUCAUCUGAGAUAAAAGAAAUGGGUUAAUCUGAGA